rnacentral:rRNA from 1 species
AAAUUGAAGAGUUUGAUCAUGGCUCAGAUUGAACGCUGGCGGCAGGCCUAACACAUGCAAGUCGAACGGUAACAGGAAGCAGCUUGCUGCUUCGCUGACGAGUGGCGGACGGGUGAGUAAUGUCUGGGAAACUGCCUGAUGGAGGGGGAUAACUACUGGAAACGGUGGCUAAUACCGCAUAACGUCGCAAGACCAAAGAGGGGGACCUUCGGGCCUCUUGCCAUCAGAUGUGCCCAGAUGGGAUUAGCUUGUUGGUGAGGUAACGGCUCACCAAGGCGACGAUCCCUAGCUGGUCUGAGAGGAUGACCAGCCACACUGGAACUGAGACACGGUCCAGACUCCUACGGGAGGCAGCAGUGGGGAAUAUUGCACAAUGGGCGCAAGCCUGAUGCAGCCAUGCCGCGUGUAUGAAGAAGGCCUUCGGGUUGUAAAGUACUUUCAGCGGGGAGGAAGGUGUUGUGGUUAAUAACCGCAGCAAUUGACGUUACCCGCAGAAGAAGCACCGGCUAACUCCGUGCCAGCAGCCGCGGUAAUACGGAGGGUGCAAGCGUUAAUCGGAAUUACUGGGCGUAAAGCGCACGCAGGCGGUCUGUCAAGUCGGAUGUGAAAUCCCCGGGCUCAACCUGGGAACUGCAUUCGAAACUGGCAGGCUUGAGUCUUGUAGAGGGGGGUAGAAUUCCAGGUGUAGCGGUGAAAUGCGUAGAGAUCUGGAGGAAUACCGGUGGCGAAGGCGGCCCCCUGGACAAAGACUGACGCUCAGGUGCGAAAGCGUGGGGAGCAAACAGGAUUAGAUACCCUGGUAGUCCACGCCGUAAACGAUGUCUACUUGGAGGUUGUGCCCUUGAGGCGUGGCUUCCGGAGCUAACGCGUUAAGUAGACCGCCUGGGGAGUACGGCCGCAAGGUUAAAACUCAAAUGAAUUGACGGGGGCCCGCACAAGCGGUGGAGCAUGUGGUUUAAUUCGAUGCAACGCGAAGAACCUUACCUGGUCUUGACAUCCACAGAACUUUCCAGAGAUGGAUUGGUGCCUUCGGGAACUGUGAGACAGGUGCUGCAUGGCUGUCGUCAGCUCGUGUUGUGAAAUGUUGGGUUAAGUCCCGCAACGAGCGCA